CUGGGGGGGUCAAAUCCCGUUUCCCGGCCUUUAUUACUCGCAAAAUCCCGGUCGCGGUAGGUAUAAUCCCGGUGAAUACCGUAUUACAACGUUUUGCUAUAUUAUACACAGUAUAUGCAACAAAAUAGCCCAGUUUUUAAUGAAACCGAUGACAAAAAACUCAGGCGAGGAAGGAUAAGGAGCCUUAGAAGCUGCUAUUGAAUUAUCAACCCAAUUCUAUUUCUUAAAGUCUCUAAGCAUCACGGGGUUUGGACGGAUUCAACAAAUCCCCGCGGGUAAGUCGGUCACUCGCUGGUGCUAUAACGGGGCAAGGAGUUAGCCCUUUGCUUCCCGGCGGGCCUAUCACGCUCUACAUGGCUAUGACAUCAUUGGCCCUUUCUGCUAAAGCGUCCGCCAUAUUGGAAAGUGUGAGUCUGCGCGCAAAGCAUCGUGGAACUGACAGCAAGGGAGUAGCCUGGGGACGAGGCUAGCGAGGAGUAUUGCUUGACUCCGACACGAGCGGGCGUCGAGGUCACAGGAGCGAGAACGUGGCGGAACAAGGGUGGCGGUCGGCGGAGGGGACGGGAAAGAAGAAAAAGGAGCGAGAAGACGUCUUUCUUCGUAAAAUGGGGCUUAGGGACCUCACGAACCCGGCAGACUUGCUCUUUUGGGCUCACUAGGAGGCAUAUAAGACUCACAGGUUUACCAGCACAUAUGACGGGAGAGGCAUUGCUGGACUAAAGAGUGAACCAAAUGCAUCGUCAGAAGGUUUGAGGCAUAUUUUCUUUUUUCAAAAUUUUGCUCAAAACUAUACAGGGGGGAAUUGGUUAAUACACAACCCCAUCUACCACAUAUCUUUUAUCUAGACAAUAGAUUUUUUUUCUUGAGUAGAAUAGGAGUUCUUUAAUAAAGAAAACACCAGGAUCCCUGAAAAGGAAAAAAAACUGAUUUAGUUCAGAUAUCAUGAGACUAGGUGUACAGGUUUAGUGUUAUUAUGAGACAAUAUGCAAAGGUUGUGUGAUAUCAUGAGACUAGGCGUACAGGUUUAGUGUUUUUAUGAGACAAUAUGCACAGGUUGUGUGAUAUCAUGAGACUAGGCGUACAGGUUUAGUGUUUUUAUGAGACAAUAUGCACAGGUUGUGUGAUAUCAUGAGACUAGGCGUACAGGUUUAGUGUUUUUAUGAGACAAUAUGCACAGGUUGUGUGAUAUCUUCUGAGACUAGGCGUACAGGUUUAGUGUUAUUAUGAGACAAUAUGCACAGGUUGUGUGAUAUCAUGAGACUAGGCGUACAGGAAAUGUGUUAUUAUGAGACAAUAUGCACAGGUGAUAUCUUGAGACAUACCUGCUGCAACAGAGACAUUGAAGGAGUCCAAAUCAAUCGAUUGGAAACUAUUUUGGGCAUGGUGUGGGUAGAUAGAUAAUAACUGUGUGCAUUGCUGCUGAACUGUAUUUCGCAGGCCCCUUCCUUCAUUUCCUGUGACAACAGAAUGUAUGGUAUAUAAAUAGGAUAUUAUAUGAAACAAAGUAACAAGAAUGAUUACUAGAAGGGCAAGGUCAUCCUAUAUAAUGAUCAGAAAAUAAAAGAUGCAAAGUCUAGAAGCCAGUUUAAAGACUAUAUCCCCAUGAGCAUUUUACAAUGGUAAUGAAUAGAGGUUUCCGCUUCCUUGAAGAUGAAAACAGUUUGGGAACGGGGGAAAUAUUGAGCUGGUUGAAUCAUGACAGUAUUACCUACCUAGCACUAAUACUGUAGGUUUUGAUAGUGAAUACUCAGCACAAUUAACUGGACGAUGGUGAGAGUCAUCUGUGAUUGGUUGAACAGCCCCUAGGACAUCCCAUCCAAUAGCAGCUCUCUCCUAGAAACAAGCAUUUGAAGAAAAAACAAAUGCUGAUUUUUCUAAUAAAAGAUAAUUCUGAGUGAAAAAUAAUUUAGAUUCAUUAUAUAUGCCAUUGAUACUGCAGUACUUUACCUGUAAAAACUUUGGCAGGUCUGGAGUUUGAUAAACAUUGAAGACUUCCAUUGCACCAGCACUGGCUUUACUUACCACAGGUGAAAGAGGAGCACUGCAAAUAAGUAAAAUAAAGGUUAAUAGCAUAUGGUGAAGUUCUUGUAUAGGGUGAAGUUCUUGCAUAGAAUUUCAUGCAAGGCCGAUAACUUUGUUUAUAAUACCUAUCACACCAAACUUUUACUACAUCACUUGCACAUAAUCUCGCUUUCUGAUUGGUUGUUAGCUAUGGUAAAUCAGAGGACACACCACAGACAAACUCAUUAACACUAGAUGAGUUGGCGGGUGGGUGCCCAAUGGUGAUUGCCAUGCUCGGUAACCAUGGCAACAAUGUCACCAUCCCACACUGGGCACCUAUCACACUGAAAAUCAGUGAAAUACUAACUAAGUAACUAUAUACCUAUCUAGAAUGGGAGGGGAGGGAAAAAGCUUCCCAUGUCUUGGCGCCAAACAACGGUUGAUCUAAGGUUUUCCCGCUCUGUACAAAGCUACCCUACGAAGGCAUACAUCUGUACCACAGGCACCGGCGCAGGUCAGGUAUGCAUAACCUCUAGAGCUCUGAGAUGCUGCCCUGUGUUGUGAAUCUAACUUUUGCUUUAAUGUCAGAAUUUAGCCUCAUUUCACAAUCCUUGCAGGAUCCUUAACUUUAAGCAAAAGUGAAGAAAAACCUUGUCAAAGUGUGGGAAAUUUGGUUCUCAACCUUCUCUAGUAAAUGUAUUUUCCAUCCUUACAAAAGGUUACCUCAUGAUCAAAAUUUACAGCAGAAUCAGUGGGUGCUAUGUGGCUCACGACUCCCCAACAUUAUUAUCAUGAAGUGACAAUAGAGUUUCUGUUACAAUAGAAACAAUAGAGUACAUACAAUGGGGAAUUUGUUAAAUAUGAACCCUAAAUGUUUAACCUAAUAUAUGAAAUCAAUGUAUGGAAAAUAGACAGCCCCCUUGGGACAGUAGUGAUUGGUAAUGAAUCUCCACAUAAAAAUAGUUAAUUGAUCAUAAUGCAUAAAAUACUGCAUUAUUCUUGUGUUCUGUUACAAUAUAUUUGCAAACCUAUUUUGUUUUGGUACCACUAUCUUGUCCACUCCUAACAGCCAGCUUGUCCUGAUGAUAGCACCAAAGUUCAUAGGGUCCUGAGCAAAAAAGUGACAUACAGUAGAAAGACACAAAUAUCACUAGGGAGAGAGAGAAGGAAGCUGAAGCUAUGGUUAUCUGUUAGCAAAAGCAGGCACAGCCAGUGCUAAUGAAAAAAAGCCUGCACUUCCUGCAUCCCCAAUCUCCGCGAUGCCCUGGGUGAGUAAGUACGCAGCUGCUUUGUCUCCUAUUAUUUUUGUUCUACAAAGGAGUUCUUUUGUCUCUAUUCUUCUCGUUCUUUGUGUCGAGGUGCGGAUAUUGUUCAUUUUGAGGAUAGUCUAACUCCAGCAUAUUUUCCCUUUCUUUUCUUGCACUUUUCACACCUGGAUUGAUUUCAUUGCAGUUUUCACUAUUGGUCAACUAUUAUAUGAGAUAAAAUCUGAAAGUCUACCUGAAUUUCAUCAAGAGCCAGCACAAGUGGAUGCAAACUGGCAAUACUAAUUCAAAA